UACGAAGGGGGCUAGCGUUGCUCGGAAUCACUGGGCGUAAAGGGCGCGUAGGCGGCGUUUUAAGUCGGGGGUGAAAGCCUGUGGCUCAACCACAGAAUGGCCUUCGAUACUGGGACGCUUGAGUAUGGUAGAGGUUGGUGGAACUGCGAGUGUAGAGGUGAAAUUCGUAGAUAUUCGCAAGAACACCGGUGGCGAAGGCGGCCUGCUGGGCAGUUGCUGACACUGAGGCGCGACAGCGUGGGGAGCAAACAGG
rnacentral:rRNA from 1 species